GGUAUCUUGGCCGAGCGGUCUAAGGCGCCGCACUCAAGUUGCGGUCUCGAAAGAGGCGUGUGUUCGAAUCUCACAGAUAUCA
rnacentral:tRNA from 1 species